rnacentral:lncRNA from 1 species
UUUUUUUUUUGGAUUUUUGAAUAAGGAUAACUAAAUUGCAGCAGCAGUAAGGUAGGAAACCAGAACCUGUUGCAAUUCACGGGGAGAUCAAAGGAUGAUCCGCGGUGGUGGAGAUGAUGGCGUAAUUCGGCGACGAUAUUUUAAGCAAUUGUGGGAAUUGCUUUGGAUAGUUGUGGAGGGUUGAUAGAUGGCUAUGGAAGGGCAGUGAGAUGCCAAGAACGCUGCUCUGAUACCAGGUGUUAGAACCCUUGCAAAUUCUAAACUUGGGGUUGAUCUCUUUAGGGGAUCGGCCUCCU